UGCAAAAGUAAUUGCGGUUUUUGCCAUUGAAAGGAAUGGCAAAAACCGCAAUUAAUUUUGCACC
rnacentral:miRNA from 1 species